GAUGAACGCUGGCGGCGUGUCUAAUACAUGCAAGUCGAGCGAACAGACGAGGAGCUUGCUCCUCUGACGUUAGCGGCGGACGGGUGAGUAACACGUGGAUAACCUACCUAUAAGACUGGGAUAACUUCGGGAAACCGGAGCUAAUACCGGAUAAUAUAUUGAACCGCAUGGUUCAAUAGUGAAAGACGGUUUUGCUGUCACUUAUAGAUGGAUCCGCGCCGCAUUAGCUAGUUGGUAAGGUAACGGCUUACCGAGGCAACGAUGCGUAGCCGACCUGAGAGGGUGAUCGGCCACACUGGAACUGAGACACGGUCCAGACUCCUACGGGAGGCAGCAGUAGGGAAUCUUCCGCAAUGGGCGAAAGCCUGACGGAGCAACGCCGCGUGAGUGAUGAAGGUCUUCGGAUCGUAAAACUCUGUUAUUAGGGAAGAACAAAUGUGUAAGUAACUAUGCACGUCUUGACGGUACCUAAUCAGAAAGCCACGGCUAACUACGUG
rnacentral:rRNA from 1 species